AACGGUCUAUACCUGCGGUACCUGCGGAAGGAUCAUUAACAAGGUGACCGCCGGUCCGGUCCCCCGGGUGAACCCCGGGGGGACCCGUCCGCGCGGGCAGCCCCCCAACCCUUGAGUACGUACCCGGUUGUCUGGGCGGCGGGAGCCGUCGGCACCCCCGCCCGGAGGAUCCACCCCCGUACCCGAUCUCCCGUACCUCUGAAAGGCUCUCUGUCUGUCAGUCAGAAUUCGAGCCAAAAC
rnacentral:misc_RNA from 1 species